UACGAAGGGGGCUAGCGUUGCUCGGAAUCACUGGGCGUAAAGGGCGCGUAGGUGGUGGCUUAAGCGUGCGGUGAAAGCUCGGGGCUCAACCCCGAGUCGGCCGUGCGAACUGGGCUCACUGGAGCAUAGUAGAGGCAGGUGGAAUUCCGGGUGUAGCGGUGGAAUGCGUAGAGAUCCGGAAGAACACCGGUGGCGAAGGCGGCCUGCUGGGCUAUGGCUGACACUGAGGCGCGACAGCGUGGGGAGCAAACAGG
rnacentral:rRNA from 1 species